rnacentral:rRNA from 1 species
ACGUAGGAGGCGAGCGUUAUCCGGAUUUACUGGGCGUAAAGCGUGUGUAGGCGGUUUGAUAAGUUGGAUGUGAAAGCUCCUGGCUUAACUGGGAGAGGUCGUUCAAAACUAUCAGACUUGAGAGUGGUAGAGGGAGGUGGAAUUCCGCAUGUAGUGGUGAAAUGCGUAGAUAUGCGGAGGAAAAAAAGUGGCGAAAGAGGAAUAAUGGCCCAUUGCUGACGCUCAGACAAGAAAGAUAAGGUAGCAAACGG